AGAGUUUGAUCCUGGCUCAGGAUGAACGCUAGCUACAGGCUUAACACAUGCAAGUCGAGGGGAAACGACAUCGAAAGCUUGCUUUUGAUGGGCGUCGACCGGCGCACGGGUGAGUAACGCGUAUCCAACCUGCCCAUCACUUGGGGAUAACCUUGCGAAAGUAAGACUAAUACCCAAUGAUAUCUCUAGAAGGCAUCUGAAAGAGAUUAAAGAUUUAUCGGUGAUGGAUGGGGAUGCGUCUGAUUAGCUUGUUGGCGGGUAACGCCCACAAAGCAACGAUCAGUAGGGGUUCUGAGAGGAAGGUCCCCCANAUUGGAACUGAGACACGGUCCAAACUCCUAGGGAGCA
rnacentral:rRNA from 1 species